GACGGAGGGUGCAAGCGUUGUUCGGAUUGACUGGGCGUAAAGGGCGUGUAGGCGGUCGAUUAAGUCUGAUGUGAAAGCCCGGGGCUCAGCUCCGGAAGUGCAUUGGAAACUGGCCGACUCGAGCGCGAUAGAGGAGGGUAGAAUUCCUGGUGUAGCGGUGAAAUGCGUAGAUAUCAGGAGGAAUACCGGCGGCGAAGGCGGCCCUCUGGAUCGUUGCUGACGCUGAGACGCGACAGCGUGGGGAG
rnacentral:rRNA from 1 species